GUCUCCGACUCACUAUAAACAUUUUAUACUUUUGUCCAUCAUUAUCUCAUCCCUAGUGGUCUUUGUUAAGUAAAUAAAGUUCUAAUUCCUGUUUAAUGGUUAGACACAGGUGGUUUCUGUCACUGAUUACAGCCCUAAACACAUGACAAUUAAGGCACAUAUAUCACAAGUUUGUUCAAGGAUUUUUACUUCAUUCUUUAGUUAGGAUGUUAUCUAUAGUGGAGCUACAAAUCAAAGAAGCUAUAUAACCUUUACUUUGAACAGCAGAAGCAAUGGGCUAAUGCAAGUUUUUAAAGGGAUACACUACUUAGUUUGCUUCCACAACUACUUUAAUAGCUAAUCUAUUAAGCUUUAAAACUUUUUCUUAUCAACAGAGUUAUAAAGUGGGGGAGGUAUGAGCGGUGAGUGAUCAGCUCAGGCUAGGAGUACUUGAGAAGAACAGGUUUGACAGAGGGAGGGUUAAGAGCAUAGGUAGAAAAGGCUUGUAUGUAGGGGAUUUCUGACCAUUUGCCAUUGCACUGACAGAAGUUGUGUAAAUCACACAGUAUGUUAAAAUUGAAAGUGCCAUUUUUGGGGCGUGGAAACCCAUUAUCUAAUUUAUACUGAGGCCAAACCUGAUUACAAUAGAAAACAAAUCUUUUUGGCCUAAAGUCUGGUCCCAACAAUCCGAGGGGUUUGAGUUGUGCCAGAAGGCAGCCCAGAGGCGUUGAGGGGCGGGGUUUGGAUUGUUGGGCCCCCUGAUUAGAGCGGGUGAGGGGGAGGUAUGAGCGGUGAGUGAUCAGCUCAGGCUAGGAGUACUUGAGAAGAACAGGUUUGACAGAGGGAGGGUUAAGAGCAUAGGUAGAAAAGGCUUGUAUGUAGGGGAUUUCUGACCAUUUGCCAUUGCACUGACAGAAGUUGUGUAAAUCACACAGUAUGUUAAAAUUGAAAGUGCCAUUUUUGGGGCGUGGAAACCCAUUAUCUAAUUUAUACUGAGGCCAAACCUGAUUACAAUAGAAAACAAAUCUUUUUGGCCUAAAGUCUGGUCCCAACAAUCCGAGGGGUUUGAGUUGUGCCAGAAG
rnacentral:lncRNA from 1 species